rnacentral:lncRNA from 1 species
GAUUAUGGAAGAUUAAACUGCACGAGUCGAGCUUCAAACUUUGAACCAUGAGCACUCCGUAUGGUCGCUAUUGGUUUCUUCGCAUGCCGUUUGGAAUAGCUUCGGCCCAGAAGUUUUCCAGGCAGCAAU